GCACAAGAUGAUCAACGUAUACUUUAUACGCUGGAAAUUACCGGCUGAGGCCUUGCGCCGCUGAAGAUACAAAUUGGCUGUUUUCUGAUC
rnacentral:snoRNA from 1 species